rnacentral:rRNA from 1 species
AAAAUUGUUUUCCAUUUGGGUUGUCGUUUGCAAAUUGGAUACAGGAAGGCGGAAUUGGUUGUAAUUGUAGAUCCGCCUGGUCCGGGGAAUACGUUCCCGGGUCUUGGACCCCCCCCCCGUCCCCCCCCGGGAGUUUUAACCCCCGAAGCCGGUGGAGUAACCAUUUAGGAGCUAGCCGUCGAAGGUGGACCAGAGGUGGG